rnacentral:rRNA from 1 species
UGCGUAGGCGGUCGGGUAAGUCUGACGUGAAAUCUUCAAGCUCAACUUGGAAACUGCGUCGGAUACUAUUCGGCUAGAGGAAUGGAGGGGAGGACUGGAAUACUUGGUGUAGCAGUGAAAUGCGUAGAUAUCAAGUGGAACACCAGUGGCGAAGGCGAGUCUCUGGACAUUUCCUGACGCUGAGGCACGAAAGCCAGGGGAGCAAACG